rnacentral:rRNA from 1 species
ACGCCUACGGGGCGCAGCAGUGAGGAAUAUUGGUCAAUGGACGAGAGUCUGAACCAGCCAAGUAGCGUGAAGGAUGACUGCCCUAUGGGUUGUAAACCUCUUUAGGCGGGAGCAAUGCCGGGCACGCGUGUCCGGAGGGAGAGUACCCGCAGAAUAAGCAUCGGCUAACUCCGUGCCAGCAGCCGCGGUAAUACGGAGGAUGCGAGCGUUAUCCGGAUUUAUUGGGUUUAAAGGGUGCGUAGGCGGAUUUUUAAGUCAGCGGUAAAAUGUCCGGGCUCAACCCGGGCCGGCCGUUGAAACUGGGG